CUUCAACUAACUCUAAUACCAAACUAAUAUGAACAUGGCAUCAACUAGUAUCCCACAAUGCCUCGGAUCUAGACGAAGAGUCAAGUUGGGGUUGCGAAAAUUAUUGACCCUUCUAACACGCGUAGUUGUGAACCUAUUGAACUUAAUUUCAACCUACAACUAAAUGGAAUAACGAACCAUGAAUGUUGGACGAUGACACCACAACCAAUUGUGACUUAUUGAUUGAUAAGUCGUAAACACUCAAGGUCAAUUCUCAAGUAUUCAAAUGAAGAUUUCUUGGAUAAGAGAGUAGCAAAACACAAGGAUUUUGGCUGGAAAAAUUCAUUCUUAAAAAUCUACGUGACUAAAGGCUAUAUUUAUAGCCUUUUACAAGACACAAGAAACCUAUUCAAUAUUGGAAACGAAUUAUGACUUUCCUAAAGCCCUAACUCACUAGAAUAGGAAACUAAUAAAUUUAAAUUGGCUCAAUAGUGGCCCACAUGACUUGACCUUUUUUCCUUAACUAAUGACUCUACUUAACAGUUAAAUUAACUCUAAUUUAACAACUAACAAUGCUGGACAUCAUCUAAACUAAUGACACAAAAGAAUGAAACUUGAAAUUUGUUCGGUUCUUCAUUAAUUCAUGCAACCCGAUUGCACUUCACCUUCUUCAGACUUAGUAAACGAAAUUUUUAUAGAGUUUAAUGGGAAUCUCGGAUCUUCAUCCUCAUGUUCUCAUCAAAGUGGAUGUCCAAAUUGACAGAUGUUGAAGAAUUAGCAGAUAAGUUAUGGUUAGGGGUGAAAUGACACUCAAACCCAGAGCUAGCCGGUUCUCCCCAAAAUGCGUUAAGACGCAACAGUUGACUAGACAUCUAGGGGUAAAGCACCAUUUUGGUGCGGUCAAACUCUAAAUAUGAGAUAUGACCUCAAAACAAUAAGGGUCAAGGUCGGCCAGUGAGACGAUGGGGGAUAAGUUUCAUCGUCGAGAAGGAAACAGCCUGGAUCACCAACUAAGGCCCUAAAUGACCGUUCAGUGAUAAAAGAGGUAGGGGUAUAGAGACAGCUGGGAGAUUUGCCUAGAAGCAGCCACUCUUGAAAGAGUGCAUAAUCGCUCACUGAUCGAGCUCUUUUGUGCCGAAAAUGAAAGGAGCUAAGCAAUUUCUUGAAAUUGUGGGAUGUAAAAAUACAUAGGUAAGGGAGUGUUCCACCUUAGAGAGAAGCCUCCACACGAGCAGUGGUAGACAAAGCGAAAGCGAGAAUGUCAGCUUGAGUAACGCAAACAUUGGUGAGAAUCCGAUGCCCCGAAAACUUAAGGGUUCCUCCACAAGGUUCAUCCACAGAGGAUGAGUCAGGGUCUAAGAUUAGGCUGAAAGGCGUAGUCAAUGGACAAUAGGUGAAUAUUCUUGUACUACCAUUUCUUGGUCCUAAGGGACGGAUAAGGCUAGGUUAGCAGAAAGAUGGUUAUCGGCUCAAAAACGUAAGGUGUCCCUACUUUUUCGGAGUAAAAGUGGUAGAGAAAUGUUUCAAACCAAUGUUCAUACUCCCAGAAAAAACUCAAAGAACUGUAAACAAAAUGGUACCUAUACCCAAAAUUGACACAGGUGGAUAGGUAGAGAAUACCUUGGGGCAUGAGAAAACGUUUUCUAAGAAACUCAGCAAAAUAGCCCCGUAAUUUUGGGAGAAAGGAUGCUUUCUCACAAAGGGGCUUGCAGUGACCAGGCACGAACAACUGUUUACCAAAAACACGUCUCCGCAAAGUCAUAAGCCCGUGUAUGUGGGCUAACUCCUGCCCAUUGCUGGUAGAUCAAGAAAGUUGGUGACUCGAUACUAGGAGAGUUGGCGACCAAAGCCCCGGUGAACGGCUGCCGUAACUAUAAUGGUCCCAAGGUAGUAAAAUUCGUUGUCGAGUGAGUUUCAACUUGCAUGAAAGGCGUAACGAUCUAGGCACUAUUUAAAAAGAAGCUUGGUGAAAUAGACAUGUCUGUGAAGAUGCGAACUACCUGCACUUAGAUAGAAAGACCCUAUGAAGCUUUACUGUUUCCUAGGAUUGGCUUUGGGCCUUCUCUGCACAGUUUAGGUGGAAGGUGAAGAAGGCCUCCAUUUGGGGGCCCGAGCCAUCAGUGAGGUACGACUCUAGAAGACCUAGAAUUCUAGUCUUGUGUCAGGACCUACGGGGGGAUAGUCUCAUGUAGAAAGUUUCUAUGGGAUGUAAGCCUCCCAAAAGGAAAUAGAGACGUGCAAAUGUUCCUUGAGCUAGAUAGAGAUUGGCUCUUGAGUGCAAAGGUAGAAGGGUGUUUGACUACAUGACCAAUCCAUCAAGCAGGAACUAAAGUCGACCUUGAUUCAAUGGUACUAAGUGGAAGGGCCCUUGCUUGACAAAUAAAAGUUACUCUAGGGAUAACAGGCUGAUCAUCCCUAAGAGCUCACAUCGACGGGAAGAUUUGGUAUCUUGAUAUUGGCUCUUUGCUACUUGAGGCUGCAGUAUGCUCCAAUGGUUGGGCUGUUCGCCGAUUAAAGCGGUACGUGAGCUUGGUUUUGAACGUUGAGAGACAAUUUGGUCCAUAUCUAGCUUUAGAAUUAGAGCGUUGAGAGGAUGAUGCAUAGGAUCCAAAUUCAAGUUCACAUCAUACAAGUGGAGGAUCCAUUUAAGUUCAUCAAAUCCGCCCUUCCUUGGUUCAAUUUUCGUUAGUUUUUAGUCAUUUAUGUUAGUCUAGUUGUUGGUGUUGUUUGUGCCAUUAAUUCUAGCAAUGGUACAUGGUAUUCAAAGUCAAGAAAUCAAGGGUUGAUGGU
rnacentral:rRNA from 1 species